UACGAAGGGGGCUAGCGUUGCUCGGAAUGACUGGGCGUAAAGGGCGCGCAGGCGGCUCAUUUUGUCAGGCGUGAAAGCCCCGGGCUUAACCUGGGAGGUGCGUUUGAUACGGAUGGGCUAGAGUUCGGGAGAGGAGAGUGGAAUUCCCAGUGUAGAGGUGAAAUUCGUAGAUAUUGGGAAGAACACCGGUGGCGAAGGCGGCUCUCUGGACCGAGACUGACGCUGAGGCGCGAAAGCGUGGGGAGCAAACAGG
rnacentral:rRNA from 1 species